UCUGUUACCAUUGUUUUGUCUCUUAUGUUUCAAGGCAUUACAUUCAGCUGAACACUACUUCAGCUACAGAGAAACAGCAUUUGAUUGAAUGGGUUGGCCUGGUGGAGUCUAAAAUCAGACUCCUGGUGGGAAACAUGGAGAGAAAUGUGCACGAUUCCCUGGCUCACAUUCAUUUCAGUCCUUCCCUGGAUCCAGAUCCAAAGAGCGAAUGAGCACAAGGUGGCGGACUGGACUUGUCUUUAAUACGGAGGGCUCU